ACGAACGCUGGCGGCGUGCCUAAUACAUGCAAGUAGAACGCACAGUUUAUACCGUAGCUUGCUACACCAUAGACUGUGAGUUGCGAACGGGUGAGUAACGCGUAGGUAACCUGCCUGGUAGCGGGGGAUAACUAUUGGAAACGAUAGCUAAUACCGCAUAAUAUUAAUUAUUGCAUGAUAAUUAAUUGAAAGGUGCAAUUGCACCACUACCAGAUGGACCUGCGUUGUAUUAGCUAGUAGGUGAGGUAACGGCUCACCUAGGCGACGAUACAUAGCCGACCUGAGAGGGUGAUCGGCCGCACUGGGACUGAGACACGGCCCAGACUCCUACGGGAGGCAGCAGUAGGGAAUCUUCGGCAAUGGACGAAAGUCUGACCGAGCAACGCCGCGUGAGUGAAGAGGGUUUUCGGAUCGUAAAGCUCUGUUGUAAGAGAAGAACGGGUGUGAGAGUGGAAAGUUCACACUGUGACGGUAUCUUACCAGAAAGGGACGGCUAACUACGUG
rnacentral:rRNA from 1 species